UUCUUGUCUUCAGGAAAGCACCCCAAAUCCAAGAAGCACUCCCUAACCUUUUUAGACAAGAAUUGAAUGCUUAUGGCCAUCCUAUCAAGCAAUUUGCUUUCAUGGGAUUCACAAAUAGGUUCACCCUUUGACAAUCUUUUCUUUGCUGCACUCGCCCAGUACAUUUCGGGUUGGUCCCUUAAUGAAGCUCCAAUCACUUUGAGAGCCAAAGGAAGUCCUUUGCACUCAUUUACGAUCUGCUUGACCAAAUUGGCAUCAGCAGCAGGAGGAACAGAUUUUUGUCCAAAAGCAGAGAGGCAGAAGAGGGAUAUUGCCUCCUCUCCCUUCAACAAUUCUACUUCAUAAGUAUCACUGAGAACUGUUGGGAAUUUGAAUCGCGAAACCACAAGUGUUUGGCAUCCAGGUACUCUAAAAAUUAGCUGUUCAAGUACAGAAAGUGACCACACAUCAUCCAAAACAACCAACAUUCGAGGUCCAAUUCUCAGAUUAAAUUGUGGAUUCCAUUUGGUGAUCACAUCAUUGACACCCUCAGCCACAAAAUCACUUCCUGAAACAAAUCUCCAUAUAUUUGCCCUUAAUUGUUCCAGAUUUGGAGACUGUGACACUGUCAGGAACAAAAUCCUAUUCUGGAAAUGACUUCUAACUUCAUCAUCUCUGCAAAUU
rnacentral:misc_RNA from 1 species